rnacentral:rRNA from 1 species
AUGAAACUUAUCGGUUGGAACUGCCGGGGACUCGGGAACGGCCCGGAGCGCAACCUCCUCAAGUUGGGGAGGACGGAGGAGCCCGACGUGUUGUUUUUGGCGGAGACGAAAUUGACGGAGAAAGAGCUGGAGAAGUUUAGAUGGUCGUUAGGGUUGGCGAACAUGGUGGUUUGGAGUCCUGUAGGUUGAAGUAGAGGUGUUGCUCUUUUUUGGAGGAGG